UGGGGAAUAUUGGACAAUGGGGGCAACCCUGAUCCAGCAAUGCCGCGUGUGUGAAGAAGGUUUUCGGAUUGUAAAGCACUUUCGGCGGGGACGAUGAUGACGGUACCCGCAGAAGAAGCCCCGGCUAACUUCGUGCCAGCAGCCGCGGUAAUACGAAGGGGGCUAGCGUUGCUCGGAAUGACUGGGCGUAAAGGGCGUGUAGGCGGUUUGUACAGUCAGAUGUGAAAUCCCCGGGCUUAACCUGGGAGCUGCAUUUGAGACGUGCAGACUAGAGUGUGAGAGAGGGUUGUGGAAUUCCCAGUGUAGAGGUGAAAUUCGUAGAUAUUGGGAAGAACACCGGUGGCGAAGGCGGCAACCUGGCUCAUUACUGACGCUGAGGCGCGAAAGCGUGGGGAGCAAACAG
rnacentral:rRNA from 1 species